AUUGAACGCUGGCGGCAUGCUUUACACAUGCAAGUCGAACGGCAGCACGGGAGCAAUCCUGGUGGCGAGUGGCGAACGGGUGAGUAAUGCAUCGGAACGUGCCCAGUCGUGGGGGAUAAC
rnacentral:rRNA from 1 species